rnacentral:rRNA from 1 species
AGUGAACGCUGGCGGUAGGCCUAACACAUGCAAGUCGAACGGCAGCACAGUAAGAGCUUGCUCUUACGGGUGGCGAGUGGCGGACGGGUGAGGAAUACAUCGGAAUCUACUUUUUCGUGGGGGAUAACGUAGGGAAACUUACGCUAAUACCGCAUACGACCUACGGGUGAAAGCAGGGGAUCUUCGGACCUUGCGCGAUUGAAUGAGCCGAUGUCGGAUUAGCUAGUUGGCGGGGUAAAGGCCCACCAAGGCGACGAUCCGUAGCUGGUCUGAGAGGAUGAUCAGCCACACUGGAGCUGAGACACGGUCCAGACUCCUACGGGAGGCAGCAGCGGGGAAUAUUGGACAAUGGGCGCAAGCCUGAUCCAGCCAUGCCGGGUGGGUGAAGAAGGCCUUCGGGUUGUAAAGCCCUUUUGUUGGGAAAGAAAAGCAGCAGGUUAAUACCCCGCUGUUCUGACGGUACCCAAAGAAUAAGCACCGGCUAAUUUCGU